CAGUCGUACCGACGGGAAUUCAACUUCUUGAGUGCUUGUCGUAGGUGAUGUUGAGCUUCACGGCCUUCGUUGCUUUCGUUAUAGUACUUUUGUUGUGUACUUUUCCGUAUGGUAGGUCAAUAUCGAUUUUGAUCGUCAUAAAAUGAUCGGAGGAAUGUGGCUUCGGUCUUGUAUCGGAGUGUUAUAGCCUUUGGUAGAUGUGACGAUUGGGAUCGAGGAUUGCAACGAAUACCCCUUGGGCUAUCCGUCUGACCUCUG
rnacentral:rRNA from 1 species